rnacentral:ncRNA from 1 species
AAAUAGUAUAUUAACUUAGGUUCUACAAGAUUAAUAGGGAAAAAGGUUAAAAGCCUUUGCAGCCCCCGCUACUGUAAUAUUGACGAAACUACAAUUUGCCACUGUCCUUUGGAUGGGAAGGAGUAGGAGUAGGAUGAAAUUGAGCCAGGAUACCUGCCUAAUUUAAUUAAAUGUAA